AGAAAGGUUAAACCGCACGCUACUUGAUCGGAUUCCUUGACCGGAGAGGUAAACCGAUCAAUUUCAGGUAAGGUUUAAUUUUUUGAGCGGUGUUCAUCCUAUAUUCAUCUAUACCGGACACGCUUUGAUCGGUAUUCAUCUACACCGGUCACUACUUGACCGGAUUAAAGUUCUGAUUCGGUAAGCAGGUAAGAUUUCUUGAUAUUCAUUUAAGCGGACUAGGGCUUAAUUUUUCAAUAUUGAGCGGACCUCUAAUCCGCUUGAUUUCACUUAUCCAGAUUCCAAUUUUAUUUUGAAACCGUUAGUUUGGGAGUUGUUGAUGACAGUGUUUUGAGCUGUGCUGUGUUGAAGCAGCAGUACCGCUUGUUAUUUGAAGCAGAAGCACAAGAACAACAACUGCUUUGUUUUGACUUGAUUUCGUGAUUUGAAACGGCAACAGCAACUGCUGUGCUGUGAUUUGUGAUUCGUGCAGUAAACGAGCAAUAUUAGAAGCAAUAUUUGAAGCAGCUACAGCAGAGGUUCUGUGCACACAUAGCAGGUGAACAGGUUGUUUAGACAGCAAACAGAACAUCAGCAGCAAAGGUUUAUAUCUGUGUUUAUAACUGUUGGUUUGGAAACUGUUGGUUUGGAAGCUGUUGGUGUGGAGAAGACUGCAGCAGCAGCAACAACAACAUUGUGACAGCAUUGCAAGGCGAUUUAGUACAGAUAACAAGUCUAACAGGUUGUUUAAAAGCUGUUGGGUGUGAAUCGAAUUGUAAUAGCAGCUGUGCUGUGAUGGGUUUUGACAGCAACUUCAUUUUGACAGCAAAUUCAUUUUGACAGCAACUAUAUUUUGGCAGCAAAUUCAUUUUGACAGCAACUAUAUUUUGACAGCAAAUUCAUUUUGACAGCAACUAUAUUUUGACARCAAAUUCAUUUUGACAWCAACUAUAUUUUGACAGCAAAUUCAUUUUGACARCAACUAUAUUUUGACAGCAAAUUCAUUUUGACAKCAACUAUAUUUUGACAGCAAAUUCAUUUUGACAACAACUUCAUUUUGACAGCAAAUUCAUUUUGACAGCAACUUCAUUUUGACAGCAACUUCAUUUUGACAGCAACUUUCAUUUUGACAGCUUCAUUUUCUGUUUUGACAGCAACUAAGCAGCAGCAACAGCAAGCAUAACAGCAGUGAUGUUGUUUAUGGUGUUUGAAACAGUGAUGUUGUUUAUGCAGGUUUGAAACAGCAAGCAUAACAGCAGCUCACAGAAACAGCAGGAUUGUUCUAUGUUUGUUAUUUGAAAAAUUGAAGGAAAUUUAAUUGCUUAUUUGUAGAUUCACAGUAACAAAAGUAGUUUGUACAGCAAGUGUUGUUGAAGCGACUACAUGAGGGGCUCAAGGGUGGACAUUUAGUUGUGAUUUGUUGACUGGUGCUUUAAGAAAUCCUUGAGCAGCACCAACUCAAGAUGCAAAUGGCAUAAAUGAGUCUGCUUUAACAGUUCUAAGGGAUUCAUAUUUGUUGUGAGUUUGUAUUAAGACUUGAUCAGUUGCUGUUUGGAAAUUGCACAGGUCUUAGCAGGUUUUAUUUUAAGUUGAGUUUAAGCUUCACAUCUAUACAGCAACUGCUUCAUUUUCUGCUAACAGCAGCAACAAAACUAAACUGCAGCAGCGACUCUUAAACAGAACAGAAGCAGAGUGUGCAAGUCUAACAGCUUCACAGGUCUUAACAGGUUGUCGGUGAGGCUGUUUCCUAUAUUAAGACUGUAAUAGCAAUUCAAUUACAGCAAUUCAAAAUCUGAAAAGAGUGUAGUUUUGAAGCCAUUGCUGUUUGAUUUUGAGAUUCUGGAAGUGUGAAGCUCGUAGGCACAGACUGCUGUUUCUUCGAGGUUUUGAGAAGCUGUUUUGAGCUUAUUUGACUGACUGUUAUACAGAACCUGUUUAAGAAGAAGGCUGCAGCAGGGACAGCAGGUCUGUCUGUGUGUGGAUUUGAGUACUGGACCAGAAGCCAUCUGAACAGGUCUUUCAGAUCAAAAGUGACUGAUACAAAGGUGUUGCCCAAUUAAGAACUGUGCUAAGUGGAUCCUUCCAAGACGAAUUCAAGUGGAUUUUUGAAUACACUUCAGAGAGCAGAUAGAAUAUUGUUUUUAAAAGUUUCAUAUCUGUAUUGUUUGCCUUGAAUUAGCUUGUUUGGGACUUGUCUUGGAUCGGUGUGAUUUGGACUUAGACUCAUAUUUUUGG